GCUUGGGUGGCUCAGUUGGCUAAGCAUCUGACUCUAACUCAGGUGAUGAUCUCGUGGUUUGUGAGUUCGAGCCCCACGCCGGGCU
rnacentral:tRNA from 1 species